GGUAAAGUGGCCGAGUAGGUGGCGGGUUGUAGCCCUGAAGACGGAGGUUCGAGCCCUCCCUUUACCA
rnacentral:tRNA from 1 species